UGGGCAAACCGCCGCGCCUGAGCUCAGGCCCCGCUGGUGCCUGCAUGGCCACCCCUGCCCCCGCUGCCAUCCAGACGCCCGCUGGCACGAAUGCCUGCAGGCCCUGAGACGACCUCUGCCCCCGACGCGGGGACGUGGGGCCCAGACUGGCGGCGCUCGUGGGCCCUGUGGAGAUGGACCAAAAAAAUUGCUACGCUUUAUGUCAAACAGCGUUCAGUUCUUUGUUUCUAGCACUUCACACACCACCUGACGCAAACAAAGCCAGGAAAUACUGGUUAAAUCCCCAUGUAAAGCAGCCCCCAGCUUUGGGGGUCUGAAUUCCAUUGACAGGUCUCUGGUCCGGGCUGACGGUCUUCCAAACCCUCUUCUACCUGGUGUACGUCUGGAGGAUCGACUGGAACCGUGCGGCAGAGCAGAUCUGUCCAACCUGGAGAAAGAAGCACUGGCUGGGGCCAUCCUGCUGGACCUCACCUGACCCAAGAGCCAGACUGCGCAGCUAAUCAGGGCAGCCCCUGCCAUGACGUCCUGAUGGGGACUCAGCUGACUGUGUUAGGGCCGAGCGGCUGCAGUUUUGGCUGUUGCUGUCCUCGCAGUGGGAAUUUUAAUAAGACUCUUCACUGACCAUGGCUGAAAUGGAAUCAUCCCAGCCCCAAACUACCAGUGAGAACAAUAUGCCACACGUGCCGCAUGGGAGGUGAGCUCUUCACCUGGACCGUGGCUUCGGUCCCAGCCGAGCAGGAAAGGGAUGCCAGCUUCAUGUUCUUAUUCUGAAGAUUCACAUGAUCAUCCUGGACAUCAAGAAAAGCAUUACAAUUUUAAGUGAACUUUUCUCCCAAAUGUUAACUCUUAUCGUGGUUUUUAAGUCUGCACGUUGGUGUCCCUGGCUGGCUGUGUUCUUUAUCCCACCUUACAUUUAACACCUUCUGUCUUCCAGGAGAGCAGGUCCUCUAGCAGUAACUGCUGGCCACGGUGUGUGUGUGGCACUCUUGUGUGUCCAGUCUCAUGUGUGAGUGUGCAUGAAGUCCUGUCUCGGGCAGUGCCAUGCAAGCUUUUAAAAAAUAAACAUUUAAAAAUACAUGCUCAG
ensembl:lncRNA